AGUGAACGCUGGCGGUAGGCCUAACACAUGCAAGUCGAACGGCAGCACAGGAGAGCUUGCUCUCUGGGUGGCGAGUGGCGGACGGGUGAGGAAUACAUCGGAAUCUACCUUUUCGUGGGGGAUAACGUAGGGAAACUUACGCUAAUACCGCAUACGACCUACGGGUGAAAGUGGGGGACCGCAAGGCCUCACGCGAUUAGAUGAGCCGAUGUCCGAUUAGCUAGUUGGCGGGGUAAUGGCCCACCAAGGCGACGAUCGGUAGCUGGUCUGGGAGGAUGAUCAGCCACACUGGAACUGAGACACGGUCCAGACUCCUACGGGAGGCAGCAGUGGGGAAUAUUGGACAAUGGGCGCAAGCCUGAUCCAGCCAUACCGCGUGGGUGAAGAAGGCCUUCGGGUUGUAAAGCCCUUUUGUUGGGAAAGAAAUCCUGUCGAUUAAUACUCGGUGGGGAUGACGGUACCCAAAGAAUAAGCACCGGCUAACUUCGUGCCAGCCGCCGCGGUAAAAC
rnacentral:rRNA from 1 species